rnacentral:rRNA from 1 species
GAUGAACGCUGGCGGCGUGCCUAAUACAUGCAAGUCGAGCGAACAGAUGAGGAGCUUGCUCCUCUGACGUUAGUGGCGGACGGGUGAGUAACACGUGGAUAACCUACCUAUAAGACUGGGAUAACUUCGGGAAACCGGAGCUAAUACCGGAUAAUAUAUUGAACCGCAUGGUUCAAUAGUGAAAGACGGUUUUGCUGUCACUUAUAGAUGGAUCCGCGCCGCAUUAGCUAGUUGGUAAGGUAACGGCUUACCAAGGCAACGAUGCGUAGCCGACCUGAGAGGGUGAUCGGCCACACUGGAACUGAGACACGGUCCAGACUCCUACGGGAGGCAGCAGUAGGGAAUCUUCCGCAAUGGGCGAAAGCUUGACGGAGCAACGCCGCGUGAGUGAUGAAGGUCUUCGGAUCGUAAAACUCUGUUAUUAGGGAAGAACAAAUGUGUAAGUAACUAUGCACGUCUUGACGGUACCUAAUCAGAAAGCCACGGCUAACUACGUG